UGUGUGACGUUUGGGUAGUCUGGGCCCUUUGUUAAAAGAAGCCAUUCUACUAAAAACUGAUGGAAGGAUGUCCGGACCAUGUUGGAAAAACGGUCACAGGAGUGCUUCACAAGUUCCCCACACAGGCUGAAGGGAGCAUCUGACAGGCAGAAGAUGUCUUUCUCUGGUAGUUCCACCCUUCUUUGCAACAGGACGCAGGAGAUGCAACCAGCAGAAUUUAUUUGAACUGGGACUUGAGAUGUACCUGAAGUGGACCAUAAUGCGAGAUCCAUGAGUUUGUAUGAGAAAGCUGC